rnacentral:lncRNA from 1 species
CAAAAGUCUAAUUUAAGGGCUGGCUUAUGGAAAUUGGACUUUAUAUACUGCCAGCUUUUCUCCGAGUGCUUUAACAGCUUCUCUGUGUUGGUGACCGUAACUCACAUGUAAAAGUGUUUGGCCAAAAGCAGGGCUGGAUCUGGUGCUAGAAAGACUUGUCUCUGGGAAUCUAGAUGCCCGAACAGCCAUGGAAAGGAGGAAAGUAGAUCAAACAGAUCACUUAUAUUCUGGUCUGGUUUUAUUCCUUAAAAGUAAAGCAAUGAUUUUGUGAUUUGUUAGUGUGCGAGUCGUGUGUGUGUGUGUGUGUGUGUGUGUGUGUGUGUGUGUGUGUGUGUGUGUGUGUGUGUGUAAUAGGAGUUUCAACAACUGCUACACACACCUCAUCUAAGACCUGCUUAAAAAGGGGGAAAACAUUUAAAUGAAGUUAUUCAGUAGCCACAUGUUAACAUCAGGCAAUUUGGCCAACCUAUGGGAUGUCAAUUACAAUCGAAAUUCCUGAUGUAGACAACUGAAUAUAAAGUGAAUUCACUUAGCAUAUCAAAUUCCACUGACAAAGACACAUAUGGGAGCCGCUAUCUAUAUCUCUCGCCUGUGUUGGACUAAAUGUGCACCUUGGGACAGGGAAAAGGCUGUAACGUAAGCUUGUUUCUCUUUAAUAUCCUUGCCAAUUUAUUCUUCUUGUCUGUCAGUGGUGCCAUCCAUCUGUAACAUGAAGACAAUGAUGAAGCCAUCUCCGACUUGGCAGCUGUGUCGUCUUGUCAGAAGGAAAUAAGUCCUUUGCAUGCGAUAGGGACGUACCUCGGCGGAAAAGCGGGGCAUAUUUUCAUAUUCAACAGGUUAGCCAGAGCAAUCGGCGACCCGCAAGGCAUGAAUUAUUCCACUGAACAAUGCUGACAUCUGCAUACGACAAUGCAAUCAGACGAGACUACCGCUGGCCGCCAGCAGCUGCCGAAAAGCCCUGAACCAGUAAAUCAACACCCACAUCUAAACAAUGCCCUGAAACCAUGUGGCCUGCCAAGACCAAUAACCUGGUCAGAACGGUAUGACAUACCCUCUGUUGUUUUAAUCACCUCUGCUGACAAAGUUGACAAACAUUAUGACCUUUGAUGAAUUAGAACAGGACAAAAGGAGAGCACACCUACAAGCAAAAACUAUUAUCUAACCCCCUAUAGGUCCGACUCACCAACUAAAACUAUUAUCUAACCCCUAUAGGUCCGACUCACCAACUAAAACUAUUAUCUAACCCCCUAUAGGUCCGACUCACCAACUAAAACUAUUAUCUAACCCCCUAUAGAUCUGACUCACCAACUAAAACUAUUAUCUAACCCCCUAUAGGUCCGACUCACCAACUAAAACUAUUAUCUAACCCCCUAUAGGUCCGACUCACCAACUAAAACUAUUAUCUAACCCCUAUAGGUCCGACUCACCAACUAAAACUAUUAUCUAACCCCUAUAGGUCCGACUCACCAACUAAAACUAUUAUCUAACCCCUAUAGGUCCGACUCACCAACUAAAACUAUUAUCUAACCCCCUAUAGGUCCGACUCACCAACUAAAACUAUUAUCUAACCCCCUAUAGGUCCGACUCACCAACUAAAACUAUUAUCUAACCCCCUAUAGGUCCGACUCACCAACUAAACAAAAUACGGGGGGGGGUUUUCUUCAAAACAUCACAUAACGUCUUCCAGAUAUCUGAGGACACCCUUCCCUCUGAAGGUCGGACCAGUCUGUCACAAGGGUGGAAAAGAUGACGGAUUACCCACACUGAUUGACAAAGUCUAAAACUUCAAGGGUGACCUCCUCCUCCUCCUCUUUAUAUUAUUGAUAUGGGGCCGCUGUAAUAGUCCAGAAAAGGCUACAUAUACCAAGGGGAUAACUGGACUCUCAUCCAUAAAGCCACGGAGCCAGUCACACUCGCAGAGGACACGAUUUGGAUAACUCCCCCCCCCCAGUGAAUUGAUGUCAUGAUCCUGGUGCAGAA